AUAUUUUAAUCACGAACUAUGAUUAUAAUCAUAGUUCGUGAUUUUAAUAAAUAUUAUAAGACAAUAACUUUACUACAUUUAUAUAAAACAGUAAUACAUAGUACAUAGUAAUAAUUUAAAUCAUGUUGAACAUUUUAAGAAGUAAAUUUUCUCCUUUCAUGGUACAAAUGCACUACUUUUCAUCUGGGAUAGUAGUAAACAAACAGCUCACAAAGACAAUGAAACCUAUAAUACUUUAUAAGACCAAAUCAAACUUAUGUUCACUUAUUCAAAAUCGCAGUUUUGCUGGUACAUCUCCACCAUUAAUUAUAGAUAUUAAUUAUGAAAGAUUGAAAAAGUUUAUUAACCAAAAUGAAGUGUUAAUUAUUGAUGUACGUACUAAAGAAGAAUUAGCUGCGACAGGAGUUUUACCAAAUAGCUAUAAUAUUCCACUCGAUGAGUUAAUUACUGCAUUUGAAUCAACACCUGAUAAAUUUUUAGAAAUGUACAAUAUUCCUAAGCCAGAUAAAGAUCAAAAAAUCGUUUUUUCUUGUGCCAAAGGAAUAAGAAGUUUAAAAGCAUGCCGUUAUGUUGCAGACUUGGGUUAUAAAAAUCUUUUCAAUUACACCGAAGGAUGGUUUGGAUGGGAGGCACACAAAUGAAUAAAAAAUAUGCCUUUUAUAUGGCAGCCAGCAAUGUAUCAUUUAAAUACCACUACGGUUUAAGGUUUAAACCAAUUCUGUUCACUUACCUUUUCAUCAAAGAAAUUCUGACGAAAAUUAUUGAAAUUCAUUGGAAAUAAGUACAAUGCUAAUUGAAAAGUGAUUUAUGUUAUUGUGACAUUGAAUAAGUGAUUUAGUAGAUAUAUAAUGGAGACAGUAAAUAUUGCUUUAGACUAACAUCAUACUUUCAUACUUCCAGAAGAAAAUUAUUAUAGCAUUUAUUUGUAUGGCCGUAUGGGUACUGUAAGGGUAAAUUAUAGCCUUGUAGCAACAUAAUUAUGUAAUUAUUAAUUUAUAUGUAUCACAAUAUUAAAAUAAUAAUUUGAUUAUUAAUCUGUAU
rnacentral:misc_RNA from 1 species